rfam:Drosophila persimilis strain MSH-3 cont1.013291, whole genome shotgun sequence.
AUAUUUAUAUUAUUUAUGCCUCUAACUGGAACGUACCUUGAGCAUAUAUGCUGUGACCCGAAAGCUGGUGAACUAUACUUGAUCAGGUUGAAGUCAGGGGAAACCCUGAUGGAAGACCGAAACAGUUCUGACGUGCAAAUCGAUUGUCAGAAUUGAGUAUAGGGGCGAAAGACCAAUCGAACCAUCUAGUAGCUGGUUCCUUCCGAAGUUUCCCUCAGGAUAGCUGGUGCAUUUUAAUGUUAUAUAAAAUAAUCUUAUCUGGUAAAGCGAAUGAUUAGAGGCCUUAGGGUCGAAACGAUCUUAACCUAUUCUCAAACUUUAAAUGGGUAAGAACCUUAACUUUCUUGAUAUGAAGUUUAAGGUUAUGAUAUAAUGUGCCCAGUGGGCCACUUUUGGUAAGCAGAACUGGCGCUGUGGGAUGAACCAAACGUAAUGUUACGGUGCCCAAAUUAACAACUCAUGCAGAAACCAUGAAAGGCGUUGGUUGCUUAAAACAGCAGGACGGUGAUCAUGGAAGUCGAAAUCCGCUAAGGAGUGUGUAACAACUCACCUGCCGAAGCAACUAGCCCUUAAAAUGGAUGGCGCUUAAGUUGUAUACCUAUACAUUACCGCUAAAGUAGAUGAUUUAUAUUACUUGUGAUAUAAAUUUUGAAACUUUAGUGAGUAGGAAGGUACAAUGGUAUGCGUAGAAGUGUUUGGCGUAAGCCUUCAUGGAGCUGCCAUUGGCACAGAUCUUGGUGGUAGUAGCAAAUAAUCGAAUGAGACCUUGGAGGACUGAAGUGGAGAAGGGUUUCGUGUGAACAGUGGUUGAUCACGAGUUAGUCGGUCCUAAGUUCAAGGCGAAAGCCGAAAAUUUUCAAGUAAAAAAUCAGUGAGUAAUAUUGUCAAAUCUUUUAUGAUUUUUAAAUACUUGAAUAAUUUUGAACGAAAGGGAAUACGGUUCCAAUUCCGUAACCUGUUGAGUAUCCGUUUGUUAUUAAAUAUGGGCCUCGUGCUCAUCCUGGCAACAGGAACGACCAUAAAGAAGCCGUCGAGAGGUAUCGGAAGAGUUUUCUUUUCUGUUUUAUAGCCGUACUACCAUGGAAGUCUUUCGCAAAGAGAUAUGGUAGAUGGGCUAGAAGAGCAUGACAUAUACUGUUGUGUCGAUAUUUUCUCCUCGGACCUUGAAAAUUUAUGGUGGGGACACGCAAACUUCUCAACAGGCCGUACCAAUAUCCGCAGCUGGUCUCCAAGGUGAAGAGUCUCUAGUCGAUAGAAUAAUGUAGGUAAGGGAAGUCGGCCAAUUAGAUCCGUAACUUCGGGAUAAGGAUUGGCUCUGAAGAUUGAGAUAGUCGGGCUUGAUUGGGAAACAAUAACAUGGUUUAUGUGCUCGUUCUGGGUAAAUAGAGUUUCUAUCAUUUAUGGUAGUUACUUGUUCCCCGGAUAGUUUAGUUACGUAGCUAAUUGUGGAACUUUCUUGCUAAAAUUUUUAAGAAUACUAAUUGGGUUAAACCAGUAAGUUCUUAUUAAUUAUAACGAUUAUCAAUUAACAAUCAAUUCAGAACUGGCACGGACUUGGGGAGGAUGCUUGGAAACACGUCGUGAGUACUGUUUCGGCCAGCUGGUCGAAAUACGUGCUCGGAGUCUUCGU